GUCCGCCAGAAAAUUACGGGCGAAAGCCUAAAACUCAAAAGACUUGACGGUGUCUCAACCUACCUAGAGGAGCCUGUUCCAUAAUCGACAACCCCCGAUAAACCCGACCAUCCUUAGAUUAUUCAGCCUAUAUACCGCCGUCGUCAGCUUACCUUCCUAAAGCACUAAAGUAAGCUAAAUAGUUAAACACUAACAAGUCAGGUCAAGGUGUAGCUUAUAGAAUGGAGGAAAUGGGCUACAUUUUUUAACUUAAACUAAACGAAUUUUAACCUGAAAAAGAAAAUAAAGGCGGAUUUAGCAGUAAUCUAAACAAGAACAUUUAAAUUAA
rnacentral:rRNA from 1 species